GCACACAAGAGAGGUUAAAGAACAAAUAUGCAGUAGUUACACAACUUGUAAAACAUGCAAAAUUAUUAUGAAUUAAUGAUCGAUUAACAUUGAAAACAUAAAUAAAUAAAUGGACAAUAUAUAUAACGGUCGCAACAAACAUGACAAACAAAAUUAGAGCGAAUGGAUCUGCAGUAGACGUAAUAGAUACCCGUGAUUGAAUGAAUAAACAAUACACAGCAGAUGCAGUUAAGGGCACAGUUUACCUUCAUGUAAAAUGAGCUUGAUCUAAUUAGCAUUGUGUUUUCACUGAAAUGCUGUGGGUUUUGACACAUGUAAUUAUGACCAUCCAAUCGUUUUUAGGCUUGUUGUCUCUUUCUGCAAUCUUUUCUAGCACUGUAGAUAAGAGCUGGGGGUAGCACUUUUUAAUAUAUCAGUUUCAAAAUCAGCUUUAAUGUUUUUUUGGGGGUAAUUAUUGUCCUGACGAAACGGCACACUUGACCUGUGGGGAUAAAUGCAAUUUUCUAUCCAUGUUUCAACUGGGUUACCUGUUGAUUUGAAGUGAAUUUGAAGAAUUUAAGGUACUAUGAUGGUUGGCCUCAAUGCUUGGCCAGCAUGCGCUCACUGUUCAUGGUGAUGUAAAACCUACUCUGUACUGCAACAUUUUCUUAACAAUUUCCAGUUUGUAGCAGGGCAUUGUUUUGGUGGUCCUAGCUUUAUCCUGAACAUCACCAAUUUUCUCCCUUCAACUGAAAUUGACAUCUUUCACAUUGUCACAAAGCGGCUGCACAUCCAAAUGCCAACUUGCGCUUACAUUAAAUUGUUUGGACAGAUGUUGACUUUUGCAGUCACGAAGGGCUCCAACCUGUGUACAUUGAACAUUCUCCUGAGAGCUUCAUUGGCUUCCUUGGACUUUACCCUUUUUAUGAAUGUCAGUUUAUUUAAUGUGUGCUGUCAAACAAUUUGUUUUUAAAAAAUGUUAACAUUUGUACACUGGAUAAAUAGCUUGGUCUUGUCACAUUAGUCAUUCUACAGUCUUGUGUGACUUUAUGAUGAAAAAUUUGAAUUGUGACAAUAUAUCAUUAACAAUGAAUACGUAUACUUCUAAACCCAAGUUUAAAAAAAUGCAAUUGGAAAUAAUCAUUUUUGAAAGAAAUGCGCUCAUUUUGAACCAUUUUAUAGUCUUUUCGGUACUAUUUACUGUCACAGGUUGUUGUGCUUACUAAUGCCUAGACUUGUAGCCCAAUUCUGUAAUCGCUGUUCAUACAAUAUUUUACCACCAAAUAUUGGAUGAAUUGGCUCUUGUCCAAAUCUGCCAAUUGUAAGUCAAUUAUAAAUUCGUCACACCUACUCAAACGAAUGGGGG